GUCAGGAUGGCCGAGCGGUCUAAGGCGCCAGACUCAAGGUUCAGACCUUCCCCCUGAAGUAAGGAGGAUUCUGGUCUCCGAAUGGAGGCGUGGGUUCGAAUCCCACUUCUGACA
rnacentral:tRNA from 1 species